rnacentral:rRNA from 1 species
GAUGAACGCUGGCGGCGUGCCUAACACAUGCAAGUCGAGCGGCAGCGAGGGGUGCUUGCACCCUGUCGGCGAGCGGCGGACGGCUGAGUAACGCGUGGGAACGUGCCCCAAAGUGAGGAAUAACUGCCCGAAAGGGUAGCUAAUACCGCAUAUUAUCUUCGGAUCAAAGGAUUUAUCCGCUUUGGGAGCGGCUCGCGUCGGAUUAGGUAGUUGGUGAGGUAAUGGCUCACCAAGCCGACGAUCCGUAGCUGGUCUGAGAGGAUGACCAGCCAGACUGGAACUGAGACACGGUCCAGACUCCUACGGGAGGCAGCAGUGAGGAAUCUUCCACAAUGGGCGAAAGCCUGAUGGAGCAACGCCGCGUGCAGGACGAAGGCCUUCGGGCUGUAAACUGCUUUUAUAAGUGAGGAAUAUGACGGUAACUUAUGAAUAAGGAUCGGCUAACUACGUG